rnacentral:lncRNA from 1 species
CUAUUGACAACAAAAAUUUUAUAGAGCCAACAAUAAAAUUAUAAUCUAAAUUAACGUCUGGAUUUCUCGAAUACCCAAUUCUUCCGGAUGGCAGAUUUCAGAAUCUAAGGUCCUCCAGGCAGCAGAAAAGGGAACAUCAUUGGGGAUUUAUUCGAUAUCAGUUAAUACAUACAGUUAAAGGGAUUCUAAUUUAAACCAAAUAACUAUCCAUAUUCUAAUUUAAACCAAAUAAGUAUCCGUUAAUCAACAUUUUAAUUGGAUUGAGGUAAUCGAAAUUUCUCCAAUACGGUUAUCGGAUAAAUUGCAUAAAUAGUAGAGGAAUCAGAUUCUUCUAUACCGACAAUAUUUCAGAUUCUGUCGUCUUCUUUCUCGAUGGGUUAUGUAGAAUUUCAUCUACUUCUUCUUCCAGAUUCAUCGAUCUUCUUUCUUUUCUAAUAGUUCUGUCUCUUCGUUCUUCUGUUAAGAUAGCACUACAAAAAACCAUCGCAGUUCUGGCGCCCAUCUCCCGACGGCCAGGCCGCCAGAAUGUUACACUUGUCCUUCGGCAUAAUUUUCCCUCGUAAAUGAGAGAAAUGAGCUGGCGGCCAAGCCGACGGUAUCUUUUUUUUAAGAUGCCAUCGGCUUGGCUGCCAGCUCCAAUUUUCCCAACGGUCAGGAAGAAGUGAGCCGGCGGCCUGGCCACCGGCAUCCUAAAACCAUCAACGGUCGGGAGAAAAAUUGCUGGCGGCUUGGCCGCUGGCUACUUUUACAACUUUUACAACUUACAACUUGCUGGCGGCUUGGCCGCUUGUUUUUUUCAGUAACCCUAAAAUUACAACUUGUGCCGUCGCCCGUACAGUCAAAUCUAGUCAACUCGAACUUAAGUAUUUCCCGGCGGCCUGAAUUUUUUAUAUAACUAAAUUUUUUUCAGAUUUCUUUUAUUUUAUUUCCCCCCAAAAUCCUCUCCACUUCUCCCAUUCCUCUCUAACCCUCCCCAAAUCCCUUCGGCGAUCUUUCAGCCACUUCUCUCCGGUCAUCCUCGAAGUUCAUCCUCAAGGUAUGUUUUUCGUCUUCAUUUAUUUCUUAUCUUGUUUUUUUUGUUUUUUUUUGUUAUCUUUUUCAUCUUCUAGUCUGUCCUCCGUCCACUUCUCUCCGGUCAUCCUCGAAGUUCAUCCUCAAGGUAUGUUUUUCAUUUUCAUUUAGUUUUUGUCUUAUUUUUUGUUAUCUUUUUUAUCUUCUUCUCUCAUUUUUUUUUGUUGUUUAAAUUUGGGGGUUUAUGAUUUGUGAAACUUUGAGUUAUUACGGGGUUUAUAUUUAGAGUUUUAUGAAAUGAGGGUUUCUAAUUUAGGAUUUUAUGAAAUGUUAGUUUUUUAAUUUGGGGAUUUGAUUUUAUUUAUUUAGAGUGUUUGAUUUGUGUAAGUUUUUAAAUGUUUUAACUAUUAGGGUUGAUGUUUGAUUUAGUAUGUUGUUUUUAAAUGAUUUUGUGUUUUGAUGUUUUUUUAAGUAUUUUAAAUUUACUGUUUUUGUUAAAUGGUUUGCUGGAAAUUUAUUGUUUAACACUUAUAUGGUUUGCUGGAAAUUUUAUUUAUUGAUCUAUAAUGUUUUUUUUUUAAUCUUUUAAUGUUUUAUUUUUGUGUUUGCUGGAAUAGGUAGUUGAUAAUUGAUCUUUUAAUCUUAUAAAUUUUUGAUCUAUAUGGUUUGUUGGAAUUUUUUGUUAUUGAUAUAUAAUGAUUUUUUUUUUUAUUUUUUUAAUGUUUUAAUGUUUUAUUUGUGUGUUUGUUGGAAUAGGUAGUUGUUGGAAUUUUUGUUUUAAGUUUUUAAUUAAAUGUUCUGUUUUAAAAUUUGAAUUAAAUAUUCUAUUUUAAAUUUUUAAUUAAAUGUUUUGUUUUAAAUAAUUAUUUAAAUUUUCUGUUUUAAUUUAUGUUACUAUUUAUGUAAUUUUUUUAGGUUGAAUUGUUGUUGGAUUUUGUGUCUCCGAUAUCCGAUCCACGAGUGAAAUUCAAGUUGUGCUUUAAUCUUUAUCGAUCGAUCAAUGUAAUAUUUUUCAUUCAUUUUAAAUUAUUCAUUUAUUAAUUAGUUAAUAUAAUUUACAUGUUAAUUAAAUAAUUGGAAAAUGAAAUGUAU